GGGGGGCGCGGACACGCGUGGUGUGCGCGGUCCCCGUGCAGCCCGCCCUGCCGCAGGCUGCCCUCCACCCCCAGCCCCAGCCCCAGCCCCCAGCCCGUCCCUACUGCUCAUAUCCGAGCAGAUAGACCCCGGCCCCACCCUCCCGUGCUGAGCCUCCUUUCUGCCGGGAAGUUCGUCCGGGAGUCAAACAUCGCUGCCCUCCGGUUGCGCCACGGAGGGGGAGCCAGGAUAGGAAGCUGCCGUGAAAUCAGGAAGCUGAGCGCGCCGGGCCCCGGAUCCGAUCAGAAAAGGCUUCCACCCGCUCCCCUGAGGGAUCCCACGCUGAGGGACUGAACCCCGCACCCCAGCCGCGCUCACCACCCCCACCCUCUCGCCUGGGCUGCUCUGACCUGGGGGUAAUGUUCUCACGACUCAAAAAUCAGUGGAAAAAGGUACAGGAUGAGAAGCCUUGUUUCCCAACCCUAUCAACAGGU
rnacentral:antisense_RNA from 1 species